UACACAUAUUCAUAUCUAUAUAUAUUUGCAAUCACAAAUAUUUAUAUGUAUAUGGAUAUAUAUGUAUAUUGCAUGUUUGUGAUGGUAAUGGCACCAUUCUGUGUGUGUGUGUGUGUGUGUGUGUGUGUGUGUGUAUGGAUGGCGUCACAAGAAAUAUAUUUGGUCUUUGUCCCUAGCUCCUGGCACAUGGGUCCUUGGAGUUCUUGGAAUUCCCUUGGAGCGGCCUUAGUGGUAGGAAUGUAUUUUGUCAUUCUUAAGGAGAUUGUUUUGAUCACACCUGAGUCUAUACUAAUGAGACGACAGGGUGGGCUCCCAGACUGAGGCUGGGACUGGUCACCAAAAAGACCAAGUUAUUAGAAGUUAUUCAACCCCACACUCAGACCUCCAGGAGGAUGGAGUGGGAUGUGUGCACUGAAGAUCAAGCUCACUAAAAGCUCUUGAACUAGGAGAUUUGAUGAGCUUCUGAGCUGGUAAACACAUCCAUAUGCCAGGAGAGUGGCACAUCCCAACCCUACCCUGGUUUCCAUUUGUGUCUUUUAUAAUAACCUUCAUAAUAAACCAAUAAAUGUAAGUCAAGUGUUCCUUCCCUGAGUUCCGUGAGCCAUUCUAGAAAAUGGAGGAGUCAACCCUAAUGCAUAGCUUGUCAGUCAGAAGCCCAGGGUAGAACACAAAACAAAACAAAACAAAACAAAACAAAACAAAAACCCAGGGUGUCUGGACUCGUGAUUGACAUCUAGAUUGGGGGCAGUCUCAUAGGACUGAGCCUUUUAACUUGUGCAAUCUGAUGCAAAGUCUAUGUAGAUAGUGCCAGAAUUGCAUAGAACUGUAGAACACCCAGCUGGUGCUGCAGAAUUGGACAGUGUAGGAAAAUAAUCCACACAUCUGGCUAUCAGAAGUGUUCUGUAUGAAUAAAGAAACCAUUUGUUUUUCUCAGUGUGUGUGUGUGUGUGUGUGUGUGUGUGUGUGUGUGUGUGUAUGCAUGUAUGUAUCUAUGUGGCUGUAUGUACAUAUAUGUGUGUGCAUAUAUAGACAUGUAUAUGUAUACAUAUGUGUGUAUAUAAUUUAUAUAUUUAUAUAUAGUAUUUAAGAAAGAAUUUAAUGGCACAUCACCUUUAUGAAAAAUUUUCAGAACUUUAUUUAAGGAUACAAAGGAACAUUUAAGCAAAUGCGAGGAUAUUACAUGUUCAAAAAUAUUUGAUGUCAGAUUUUUCUCCAAGUAAUCUGUGGAAUCUACACUAACUCAAUUGAAAUUCUUAUGAAGAUAUAAAGACCCACAGACUAAUCAGUUUGAGAAUAAAUCAGCUAAAUCAGUUUGAGAAUAAAAGAAUAAAGGAAAAGUGAAGAUGACAGGGGGGUGAGGAAAAGUUACCAUAUGAAAUACUAACAUUUGCAAGGCCAAAGUAAUUAAAUCAAGGUGACACUGGUAUGAGAACAGGCAAAUAAAUCUGUGGAACAGAGUAAGGAUGAAAAAUAGAUUCACGUUAUAUAAAAACUUGAGAUGGUGGCACCACAAAUCAAAGGGAAAAAGGAUGUAUUAUAUAGGCUAUGAUUUUGGAAAAAACUUUAUUAUUCGGAGAAAAAUAACACUGGAUAUCUAUGUCCCUUAAACCACAUAUAAAAAUAGAUUUGAGAUGGCUUAAAAAACUAUGCAGAAGGUAAAGCUGGAAAGCUAGGGGGAAAUAAAAUUUAAGAGAACAUUUUUAUAAGUUACAAAUGUGGAAGCAAUUUUAAAAAUGUGACUUAUCUUCCAAAUACACAAACACUAAGGCAAGAAAAUUGUUAGAUUUUACUACAACAAAAUUUAGGAUUUCAUUUCAUAAAUGGCACUGUAAAAGUUAAAAGAAAGAAGACAGACUAAGUGAAGAUAAUUGUAUAACAUAAACAGUAUUACAUUAAUACCUGUAAUUUACAUCGUAAUCAUCAAAAUCAUCAAGGAAAACAUAAGAGAUAGGAAAUAUAAUGAGUAAAAUGGGUAAAAUAAAUUGAAUAAGCAUCAUCUAUCAGAAGCCUAAAUAGCUAAAAAAAGUUGUUUGAAGAGAUGCUUAAGCUCAGUAUAUCAGGAAAUCACAUAUUGACAUGUCAGUGAGCUAUCAUUAGUAUUUUACACCCAUUGGAUUAGUCAACAUCACAAAGUGAGAUAAUUCUAACUCCCAUGCAGUGAUGAUAUAAAAAUUACUCUAAAUAGGACUGGUGAAUUUAUUUAUGCAUCUACCUUAUGAACCAGAACAAGACUUAAUACCAUACCACCAUUUGUGUGAACAUAAAAACACAUACACACAAAAAAUUUUAAUAUUUUACAAAGGAAAUGCAUAUUUAAUGACAUUUAUCUGUCAUAUUUAAGUGAGCAGCUAUGGUGACUGGAAAUAGGGAAUUGAAUAGAAGUAAAUAAAUAAAUGAAGUAAAAUAAGAGAGAAUCCUUGCUCUGGCCUGUGAUGAUAAUGUGUUAUGACUUGAGCAUUGUGAUUAACUUAACUCUACUUUUGAGCUCCAAAACAAGAAGAAGAGAGAAAAAAAUACAAACUAUGUUCAGAAUUGUUUACUAGGCAUGAAGAGUGGUGUAGUUGAAAGAAGAUUUAUUUAAUAUACCUAAAUUUGAAAACUAGCUCUGCAGUUUCCUAGUUUUAGAAAGUCCUUCAGUACUGAUGUCUCACAGUAGCCUUGUGAGAGAGCUGAGUAUUUAUUAUUAUGCCCAUUAUUAUUAAAGAAAAAUGGAGCUCAGAAAGAUCCAGUGGCCUUGGUGAGAUGGGAGCUUCUCAGAGCUUUGCGCUGCUGUCCUAUAGAUUGAACCUUAGGAAAUGGCUGCUAGGCACCCACUGUUUACCUAUCAAAAUGGCCAUUUUCUAUGGUCUACCCUAAGAUGUAAAUGUGUCUCUUUUGUCACAAAAUGAGAGGUCCACUCAUUUAACUCUAAGACAUAUGGAAGAAAAAUAGGGAGGAAUAGGAAUGAAAUGCCAGGAGAUGAACAUGUGCAUUGCUAACUUUAAAAUUUUGUGAAAUUCAAAAAUGCUUAAUACAAAGCCCUUAAUAAAUGGUACGUUAGAGCACUGAGUUCUUAGAUACUGAGUCCUGAGUGACUUUCUUAGAACAAGCUACCUUAAAUUUAAGGUAGCUUAAAAAAUUUUAAAAUAAGGAAAAUAAUUGUGUACCUCAAAAGAACCAUAUAUCCAGGUAUGGCGGCCAAAGAAUAAAUGAAACUGCUCAUUGCUGACAAGAUUAGGAAGUACUGGAGCAUCAUGGAACAGUCAGGCCCUUUGUCACACAGCCCAAGAACUGCAGAUGAAUUUCCUGAUGUUUGAAUACAGCUGCAAUUUUGGAACACCUGUCAAAAAAUAACAUAUUACACUAACUAAGAAAGAAAUAUCUUGAACACAAAUUUUAAACAUUCUCUACACAGCCAGUUGGAUCAAGAUGGAGACUCCUUGUUCCUUUACUCCAUCCCCAUUAUGACGUCUCUCAAGAUUACAGCAUAUAACAAAACUGGAAGGGUGAUUUCAGAAAAAAAGAUUUCCUUUUCUCCCAUGAAUAGAAAGAGAAAUCUUCCAAUCAUCAAUGUGUGACCUGUUUACUAUAGCUUUGGUAUAAAAGAGACCUGUUUUGAUGACCACAUAGCCACGCUUUCAAUGAUUUAUCUCAGAAGAAUAUACAGGUAAUAAACAAGCAUUGAGUGCCUACCUUGUGGGAGUCACGUUUUCACAUAUUAUUAGAUCUCAAAAAUGAGGAUGAACUAAUCUCUGUGAUGCAUCCAUUAGGUAGCAAAUAGCAAGAAAGGACUAGCAUGAAGACAAAAAUCUGCAAGUUCCACUUGUAACAUAGAUAAUACAUUUAGCUCCAGAAACAUAGGUAUUUGAAUUAAAGAAAUACAAGUGACCAGUGCUUGUAAUACGAUUGAAAGAGCACUUGCGUGGCAGUUUAGAGACUGAAUUCAGACUAGAUCACAGUGCGACUUUCGACACAUUAUGUCUGGGAAUCAGCAUCAUUGGAGAUGGAGACAAUCUUUAAAAUUUAUUCCAAUUUUAAAAUCCAUUUCUGUAUUGAUGUGGUUGAAGAGAUUUGAAAUGAACUCCCUUUAUCAUUAAAUCUCUCUGAAUCUGUAAGUGGAGGUAAUAAUGCUUAUCUUAAAUAAAGUUUAUGAGUCUCAAAUCAAAUACCAUAUAUAAAAUUAUAUUAUUAUUUUACAUUUGAAAUUAUUUCAAUUUAAUAAACCUUGAUAAUUUUGAAAAAACAUUUUAGGAUGUUCUUUAUUUCAUUUUAAUUGAUAGCUUGAUUAUCAAAAUGUGCCCUAUAGGUGAAUUCUUUUAAUGUACAUCACUAUGGAAAACCUUUCAAUAAAACCCAGAUAACCUUCAAAAUACAAAAUAUGAAAGUAUUCAAUAUUUUAGAUAUAGCAAUACAAAUGAAAUAUAUGAAUUAUGUAUUAAUUAAUUUACCAUGUAUUAUGAUUCAGUUAUGCCAAACUUAAGCCCAUUGUAUAAACAUAUAAAGGCUAUUUUGACUGUAUAGUCUAUCCUUAGUUUUACUCAGUUAUGGGAGUAUAAGACAUAUGGAUAACAUAUUUUAAUACAAACUAAAACUGUAGGUAGUUUCUUUCAUAGGAUAAUGUCUACUCGGAUAUCACAAAGACAAUCAUGCACACACACCCACAUGCACAUGCAAUCAUAAAUUCACUCACCCUGUGAUAUGUUCCCAAUCUUGUUAAUAAGCCUAGAGCUUGGAUAGAUUGGCUUUUGAUUGACAGAUGGAGAAAAGAUACAGGAAGAGCAUGGAUUACUACCAUUAACUCCAACAAGCAAAUGAUCUGAUCAUGCAUUGCCAUUGUAAAAAAUAUAAUAUUAACCAUUUGUUGAAAGAUUCUGACAUUCAUUAGAAAACAACAUACCCUUCAUAAGAGGUAUUUAUGCCAACAACUGAAGAAUUUUCACAAGUCACAAGAAAAGAUAAAAAAUGGAGAAGAUACUCAAGUAAGGAUAACCAACAUCCUAUGUGGGCAGCUUGUUUGACAGUAAUCUUGAACUUCUUCAUAAUUAAACCACCAAUUAUGUAUCCAAUACAUAUUGGAGGUAAGUUAUAAAUACCUAUAAAUGCAAAUAAAAUAUUAUUUA